rnacentral:rRNA from 1 species
CCCUUAGAUGUUCUGGGCCGCACGCGCGCUACACUGAUGAAUGCAACGAGCUCUACCCUUGACCGAAAGGCCCGGGUAAACUUGUGAAACUUCAUCGUGAUGGGGAUAGAUUAUUGCAAUUAUUAAUCUUCAACGAGGAAUUCCUAGUAAGCGCGAGUCAUCAGCUCGCGUUGAUUACGUCCCUGCCCUUUGUACACACCGCCCGUCGCUCCUACCGAUUGAAUGGUCCGGUGAAAUCUUCGGAUUGCUGACCAAGAUCCAGCAACGGAGCUUGGUUGCGAGAAGUUGAUUAAACCUUAUUAUUUAGAGGAAGGAGAAGUCGUAACA